UGACUGUGGCUGCCUUGUUGUACCCAACU
rnacentral:piRNA from 1 species